GAACCUGUCUCGAGGUGGGGGACAACAGUUGGAAACGACUGCUAAUACCCCAUAUGCCGAGAGGUGAAAGAUUUAUCGCCUUGAGGGGGGCUCGCGUCCGAUUAGCUAGUUGGUGGGGUAACGGCCUACCAAGGCGACGAUCAGUAGCUGGUCUGAGAGGAUGAUCAGCCACACUGGGACUGAGACACGGCCCAGACUCCUACGGGAGGCAGCAGUGGGGAAUUUUCCGCAAUGGGCGCAAGCCUGACGGAGCAAGACCGCGUGCGGGAGGACGGCCUAUUGGUUGUAAACCGCUUUUGAUAGGGAAGAAGCUCUGACGGUACCUAUCGAAUCAGCAUCGGCUAACUCCGUGCCAGCAGCCGCGGUAAUACGGAGGAUGCAAGCGUUAUCCGGAAUUAUUGGGCGUAAAGCGUCCGUAGGUGGUUGUUCAAGUCUGCUGUUAAAGCGUGCGGCUUAACCGCAUACCAGCAGUGGAAACUGGACGACUAGAGUGCGGUAGGGGUCAGGGGAAUUCCCAGUGUAGCGGUGAAAUGCGUAGAUAUUGGGAAGAACACCGGUGGCGAAAGCGCCUGACUGGACCUGCACUGACACUGAGGGACGAAAGCUAGGGGAGCG
rnacentral:rRNA from 1 species